ACAAUGCAGGUUGGAUUUGCUCCAAAGAGAAAUCGCUGAACAGAACACUGAUAAGCUAAAAAUCUAUGAAGCACAAUAGUUCAAACUGUAUCUGAUCUCUCAUAUAAAAGAGACCAAACUCUGGAACCUUAAACUUUUCCUUUUGUAAAAAUACUUGGCUAUAACCCUUAAGGUGCCUGUAGCAUCCUCCAGAGCAAAGCUAAGCCUCUUCUGGGAGGUGCCACCAAAUCCAAUUACAACUGUCAUUCUGAAGGAGGCUCCUGGGAACUUUGCUGCGUUUGUAACAUUUAUACGAAAUACGUUUUCAAAGGUUGAGCUUUGCUGUUACCUCAAUGCUUAGAAACCAUCUCUAGGCUUCCAACUGACUCACAACCCAAAACCUCAUCCCAAACACUUCUACGUGACUCAGCGAUCCUCUCGGUACUUUAAUGCUGUGAACAACAGACUGUAGCAGAGGCAACUAUGAGAAGCACAUUCGUCGUUGCUGCAUGGUACCCUGUAUUACAGCAUGCCCAGCUUAUAUUCCACCAUCAAGUGUGGCUUGCCCAUCAGUGCACUUUGUGAUGGGUCGGUAAGAAUAUCCUCAAAACCAUGGUCUCGUCGUUGCUGCUCAAAAUAUCCAGUGAGAGGUUUGAGCUUGGAAGAAACAGAAGACGCUGAAUCUGCUGCACUGCCUUGAA
rnacentral:lncRNA from 1 species